rnacentral:rRNA from 1 species
UGAGGAAUAUUGGUCAAUGGGCGCAAGCCUGAACCAGCCAUCCCGCGUGAAGGAUGAAUGCCUUAUGGGUUGUAAACUUCUUUUGUACCAGAAGAAAACCCCUGACGUGUCAGGGUUUGCCGGUAUGGUACGAAUAAGCAUCGGCUAACUCCGUGCCAGCAGCCGCGGUAAUACGGAGGAUGCAAGCGUUAUCCGGAUUUAUUGGGUUUAAAGGGUGCGCAGGUGGCUUUGUAAGUCAGUGGUGAAAGUCUGCCGCUUAACGGUAGGAUUGCCAUUGAUACUGCGGAGCUUGAGUUUGGAUGAGGUAGGCGGAAUGAGUAGUGUAGCGGUGAAAUGCAUAGAUAUUACUCAGAACACCGAUUGCGAAGGCAGCUUACUAAUCCACAACUGACACUGAGGC